rnacentral:rRNA from 1 species
AGCAGUCGCCGCGGUAAUACGUAGGUCCCGGGCGUUGUCCGGAUUUAUUGGGCGUAAAGGGAGCGCAGGCGGUUUAGUAAGUCUGAAGUUAAAGGCAUUGGCUCAACCAAUGUAUGCUUUGGAAACUGUUAGACUUGAGUGCAGAAGGGGAGAGUGGAAUUCCAUGUGUAGCGGUGAAAUGCGUAGAUAUCAUGACGAACUCCGAUUGCGAAGGCAGCGUACGGGAGUGUUACUGACGCUUAAGCUCGAGGUGCGGGUAUCGAACAGGAUUAGAGACCCCCGUAGUCCCUGUCUCUUAUACAC